rnacentral:rRNA from 1 species
CACGUAGGGUGCGAGCGUUGUCCGGAAUUAUUGGGCGUAAAGAGCUCGUAGGCGGUGUGUCGCGUCGGCCGUGAAAACCUGCAGCUUAACUGUGGGCGUGCGGUCGAUACGGGCGGGCUAGAGUUCGGUAGGGGAGACUGGAAUUCCUGGUGUAGCGGUGAAAUGCGCAGAUAUCAGGAGGAACACCGGUGGCGAAGGCGGGUCUCUGGGCCGAUACUGACGCUGAGGAGCGAAAGCGUGGGGAGCGAACAGG